CAGUAUGAUGAAGGCUUGACUAAAUGGUCAAUUUAUCAACUGGGCUUUUCUUUAUCUAAAAUAAUCAUAGGAUGUGAACAUGCUGAAG
rnacentral:snoRNA from 6 species